GGAAUCUUCGGCAAUGGGGGCAACCCUGACCGAGCAACGCCGCGUGAGUGAAGAAGGUUUUCGGAUCGUAAAGCUCUGUUGUAAGAGAAGAACGUGUGUGAGAGUGGAAAGUUCACACAGUGACGGUAACUUACCAGAAAGGGACGGCUAACUACGUGCCAGCAGCCGCGGUAAUACGGAGGAUGCAAGCGUUAUCCGGAUUUAUUGGGUUUAAAGGGUGCGUAGGCGGAUGCCUAAGCGUGAGGUGAAAUCCCCGGGCUCAACCUGGGAACUGCCUCGCGAACUGGGUAUCUGGAAUGUCCGUGCCGUGGGAGGAAUGUGUGGUGUAGCGGUGAAAUGCAUAGAUAUCACACAGAACACCGAUUGCGAAGGCAUCUCACAAAUCCGUGAUUGACGCUGAGGCACGAAAGUGUGGGGAUCAAACA
rnacentral:rRNA from 1 species